AACGAACGCUGGCGGCAGGCUUAACACAUGCAAGUCGAACGCUCGACCUUCGGGUCGGGAGUGGCAGACGGGUGAGUAACGCGUGGGAACGUACCCUUCGGUUCGGAGUAACCCAGGGAAACUUGGGCUAAUACCGGAUACGUCCUGGCCUGGAGACAGGGUGGGAGAAAGGUUUACUGCCGAAGGAUCGGCCCGCGUCGGAUUAGCUAGUUGGUGGGGUAACGGCCCACCAAGGCGACGAUCCGUAGCUGGUCUGAGAGGAUGAUCAGCCACACUGGGACUGAGACACGGCCCAGACUCCUACGGGAGGCAGCAGUGGGGAUAUUGGACAAUGGGCGAAGCCUGAUCCAGCCAUGCCGCGUGAGUGAAGAAGGCCUUAGGGUUGUAAAGCUCUUUCAGCGGGGACGAUAAUGACGGUACCCGCAGAAGAAGUCCCGGCUAACUUCGUGCCAGCCCG
rnacentral:rRNA from 1 species